ACGUAAUAGAUACCCAGGUAGUCCACGCCCUAAACGAUGUCUACUAGUUGUUGGUGGAGUAAAAUCCAUGAGUAAACGCAGCUAAACGCGUGAAGUAGACCGCCUGGGGAGUACGGUCGCAAGAUUAAAACUCAAAGGAAUUGACGGGGGCCCGGCACAAGCGGUGGAUUAUGUGGAUUAAAUUCGAUGCAACGCGAAAAACCUUAACCUGGCCUUGACAUGCCACUAACGAAGCAGAGAUGCAUUAGGUUGCCCGUAACGGGAAAGUGGACACAGGUGCUGCAUGGCUGUCGUCAGCUCGUGUCGUGAGAUGUUGGGUUAAGUCCCGCAACGAGCGCAACCCUUGCCAUU
rnacentral:rRNA from 1 species